ACCUAUCAACAUUUAACCACGAAAACAGAGAAGAACCAACACCAAUCCUCCCUUUUAUAAGAAUCUAUAGUGGAGAAGGGACAAGAAUUCGGCAACACAAAGAAGAGGGAGGAGAAAGGAGAUUCGGUAGAGGGGACUAAAGAACUAUUCGGUCAAAACAAAAUAAGAGAAAAAAAAUAAAAGAGAAAAACAAGAAAACAAAAUAGCAAACCCGAAAGGUACCCAAAAUCUUUAGCAAAAUUCGGCACAAGCAAAAGGUGAAAGAAAAACUGACCAAAGCCGAAGCAAACGGAGAGAAAAACAACCCCAAAACCAAUUCCUUCAAUGCCUAAAGACCAAAUUCGGCACAAGCAUACCCCCAAACGGCACAACUCCCCCUCACUCUCAAAUUCCUUGAUUUCCUCCUAAAAUCUCUCCCCUUAUCCCUCCACCAAUUUCUCCUCAACUCACUCUAUGACCAGUUCAAACUCCUUUCAGCAGUAUUCUAAUCUAACUCCACCACCUACCCAGCUCAAGCAGCAAAAUAAAUACUCCAUUGUGCAACCCAAAACUUGAACCUUAGACCUCACAGGAACACAACACGCC
rnacentral:lncRNA from 1 species